UACGAAGGGGGGCUAGCGUUGCUCGGAAUCACUGGGCGUAAAGGGUGCGUAGGCGGGUCUUUAAGUCAGGGGUGAAAUCCUGGAGCUCAACUCCAGAACUGCCUUUGAUACUGAAGAUCUUGAGUUCGGGAGAGGUGAGUGGAACUGCGAGUGUAGAGGUGAAAUUCGUAGAUAUUCGCAAGAACACCAGUGGCGAAGGCGGACUCACUGGCCCGAUACUGACGCUGAGGCACGAA
rnacentral:rRNA from 1 species